rnacentral:rRNA from 1 species
GCUUGGUGGAUCAGUGGCGAACGGGUGAGUAACACGUGAGCAACCUGCCCUGAACUCUGGGAUAAGCGCUGGAAACGGCGUCUAAUACUGGAUAUGAGCUGCGGAGGCAUCUUCGUGGUUGGAAAGAUUUUUCGGUUUGGGAUGGGCUCGCGGCCUAUCAGCUUGUUGGUGAGGUAAUGGCUCACCAAGGCGUCGACGGGUAGCCGGCCUGAGAGGGUGACCGGCCACACUGGGACUGAGACACGGCCCAGACUCCUACGGGAGGCAGCAGUGGGGAAUAUUGCACAAUGGGCGGAAGCCUGAUGCAGCAACGCCGCGUGAGGGAUGACGGCCUUCGGGUUGUAAACCUCUUUUAGCAGGGAAGAAGCGGAAGUGACGGUACCUGCAGAAAAAGCGCCGGCUAACUACGUGCCAGCAGCCGCGGUAAUACGUAGGGCGCAAGCGUUAUCCGGAAUUAUUGGGCGUAAAGAGCUCGUAGGCGGUUUGUCGCGUCUGCUGUGAAAUCUGGGGGCUCAACCCCCAGCCUGCAGUGGGUACGGGCAGACUAGAGUGCGGUAGGGGAGAUUGGAAUUCCUGGUGUAGCGGUGGAAUGCGCAGAUAUCAGGAGGAACACCGAUGGCGAAGGCAGAUCUCUGGGCCGUAACUGACGCUGAGGAGCGAAAGGGUGGGGAGCAAACAGGCUUAGAUACCCUGGUAGUCCACCCCGUAAACGUUGGGAACUAGUUGUGGGGUCCAUUCCACGGAUUCCGUGACGCAGCUAACGCAUUAAGUUCCCCGCCUGGGGAGUACGGCCGCAAGGCUAAAACUCAAAGGAAUUGACGGGGACCCGCACAAGCGGCGGAGCAUGCGGAUUAAUUCGAUGCAACGCGAAGAACCUUACCAAGGCUUGACAUACACGAGAACGCUGCAGAAAUGUAGAACUCUUUGGACACUCGUGAACAGGUGGUGCAUGGUUGUCGUCAGCUCGUGUCGUGAGAUGUUGGGUUAAGUCCCGCAACGAGCGCAACCCUCGUUCUAUGUUGCCAGCACGUAAUGGUGGGAACUCAUGGGAUACUGCCGGGGUCAACUCGGAGGAAGGUGGGGAUGACGUCAAAUCAUCAUGCCCCUUAUGUCUUGGGCUUCACGCAUGCUACAAUGGCCGGUACAAAGGGCUGCAAUACCGCGAGGUGGAGCGAAUCCCAAAAAGCCGGUCCCCAGUUCGGAUUGAGGUUUGCA